UUGAGGAUUUUCAGAUUUCUUGACGUUUUACACAUACCACCUUAACUCUGAAGCUAAGCAGAGCUGCGCCUGGUUAGUGCUUGGAUGGGAGACCACUGUAAAUACCAGACGACACAGU
rnacentral:rRNA from 1 species